rnacentral:lncRNA from 1 species
GGGCAGGGAUGCAUCAGAGUGUCAAACCAACCAAUCAACUUGCUUUCCUAGUGGAAACAGGAUCAUUCUGCCACCAACAGCAGCUGGACCAAGCACAUGACCUUGAUGUGAACUGCUCCCCAGAAUUGACUGGCACAGGACAGGUGAGAGAUAAAGACAAGACAGAAAUGCCCAGAGAAGUUGGAGAAGACACCAUUGAGACAAUGGAAUGUCCACUAACGCUUCGAGACUUCAGAACUCUGAUCAAUGUUGGAACCACGCUCCCUCCCUAGGUGAUGUUGCAGGAGGAGUGGGAGAGGCUACUUUUUCCAAAUGUCUGUGAUGGCAUCUGAUCUCCAU